rnacentral:rRNA from 1 species
UGCAAGUCGNACGCUUCUUUUUCCACCGGAGCUUGCUCCACCGGAAAAAGAAGAGUGGCGAACGGGUGAGUAACACGUGGGUAACCUGCCCAUCAGAAGGGGAUAACACUUGGAAACAGGUGCUAAUACCGUAUAACAAUCGAAACCGCAUGGUUUUGAUUUGAAAGGCGCUUUCGGGUGUCGCUGAUGGAUGGACCCGCGGUGCAUUAGCUAGUUGGUGAGGUAACGGCUCACCAAGGCCACGAUGCAUAGCCGACCUGAGAGGGUGAUCGGCCACAUUGGGACUGAGACACGGCCCAAACUCCUACGGGAGGCAGCAGUAGGGAAUCUUCGGCAAUGGACGAAAGUCUGACCGAGCAACGCCGCGUGAGUGAAGAAGGUUUUCGGAUCGUAAAACUCUGUUGUUAGAGAAGAACAAGGAUGAGAGUAACUGUUCAUCCCUUGACGGUAUCUAACCAGAAAGCCACGGCUAACUACGUGC